rnacentral:rRNA from 1 species
UACGGGAGGCAGCAGUGGGGAAUAUUGCACAAUGGGCGCAAGCCUGAUGCAGCCAUGCCGCGUGUAUGAAGAAGGCCUUCGGGUUGUAAAGUACUUUCAGUCGUGAGGAAGGUGUUAAGGUUAAUAACCUUAGCAAUUGACGUUAGCGACAGAAGAAGCACCGGCUAACUCCGUGCCAGCAGCCGCGGUAAUACGGAGGGUGCGAGCGUUAAUCGGAAUUACUGGGCGUAAAGGGCACGCAGGCGGUUAAUUAAGUUGGAUGUGAAAUCCCCGGGCUUAACCUGGGAAUGGCAUUCAAGACUGGUUAGCUAGAGUCUUGUAGAGGGGGUAGAAUUCCAUGUGUAGCGGUGAAAUGCGUAGAGAUGUGGAGGAAUACCGGCGGCGAAGGCGGCCCCUGGACAAAGACUGACGCUCAUGUGCGAAAGCGUGGGGAGCAAACAGGGAUUAGAUACC